AUAUAUAUAUAUGUAUUUAGAAAUAAGCAGAUGUUGUAUAAAUGCUAAUGAGACCACUUUCCAACGAAGUUACAAUGUGUAAAAUGUAAACAAUUAUAGGGAAAAGUACGGUCUUCAACACCGAGUCUUAAAUUUCACUGAAGAACAACUUAUAAAGGUCCCAAAAAUUACUAGCGUAAAAUAAUUCAAACAGUAAAAAAGCAACGGACUAAUCUAUAUAACAAUCGAGAAACGAGACAUACUGAUACACAUAAUCAACAAACGACACCAUUGUACAACAGGUUUCAGAUUAAGGACAGAUACAGAAGAAAUGCAGAGUAGUUUAAACGUUUUAAAAGGUGUCGACCUUCACCAUAACCUGGAAUAGUAGUGGAAG
rnacentral:lncRNA from 1 species